rnacentral:rRNA from 1 species
CCUACGGGUGGCAGCAGUGAGGAAUAUUGGUCAAUGGGCGCGAGCCUGAACCAGCCAAGUAGCGUGAAGGAUGACUGCCCUAUGGGUUGUAAACUUCUUUUAUCAAGGAAUAAAGUGAGGCACGUGUGCCUUUUCGCAUGUACUUUAUGAAUAAGCAUCGGCUAACUCCGUGCCAGCAGCCGCGGUAAUACGGAGGAUCCGAGCGUUAUCCGGAUUUAUUGGGUUUAAAGGGUGCGUAGAUGGGUUGUUAAGUCAGUUGUGAAAGUUUGCGGCUCAACCGUAAAAUGGCAAUUGAUACUGGCAGCCUUGAGUGCAGUUGAGGUAGGCGGAAUUCGUGGUGUAGCGGUGAAAUGCUUAGAUAUCACGAAGAACUCCGAUUGCGAAGGCAGCUUACUAAACUGCCACUGACAUUGAUGCUCGAAAGUGUGGGUAUCAAACAGGAUUAGAUACCCCUGUAGUC